rnacentral:rRNA from 1 species
AUUGAACGCUGGCGGCAGGCCUAACACAUGCAAGUCGAGCGGAGCGGCGGACGGGUGAGUAAUGCCUAGGAAUCUGCCUGGUAGUGGGGGAUAACGUCCGGAAACGGGCGCUAAUACCGCAUACUAUCAGCUGAGCCUAGGUCGGAUUAGCUAGUUGUUGGGGUAAAGGCCUACCAAGGCGACGAUCCGUAACUGGUCUGAGAGUAUGAUCAGUCACACGGGAACGGUGACAGGGUCAGGAAUCCUAGGGAAGGCAGCAGUGGGAAAUAUUGGACAAAGGGCCAAGGCAUGCUCCAGCCAGGCCGCGUGAGGGAAAAAGGCAUUCGGGUUGUAAAGAACAUCAAGUUGGGAGGCGUUACCAACAGAAUAAUCACCGGCAAACUUCGGGCCAGCAGCCGCGGUAAUU